AGAGUUUGAUCAUGGCUCAGAACGAACGUUGGCGGACUGGAUUAGGCAUGCAAGUUGAGCGUACCCAGCAAUGGGGAGCAGCGUAAGGGGCAGUAAGGCAUAGGUAUCUACCCGCGGCUCGGGCAUAGCCUGUAGAAGUACAGGGUAAUUCCCGAUGAUGACGCAAGUCUAAAGUUCCGGCGGCAGCGGAGGGGCCUAUGUGAUAUUAGCUUGUUGGUGAGGUGACGGCUCACCAAGGCGACGACGGGUAGGGGGUGUGAGAGAACGACCCCCGUCACUGGCACUGAGACACUGGCCAGACUCCUACGGGAGGCUGCAGUCGAGAAUCUUCGGCAAUGGGCGAAAGCCUGACCGAGCGACGCCGCGUGGUGGAUGAAGGCCUUCGGGUUGUAAACACCUGUUGGGGGGGAACAAUAAUGAGUGAACCCCUGAGGAAGCACGGGCUAAGUUCGUGCCAGCCGCCGCGGUAAUAC
rnacentral:rRNA from 1 species